UACGAAGGGGGCUAGCGUUGCUCGGAAUUACUGGGCGUAAGGCGCACGUAGGCGGCUUUCUAAGUCGGGGGUGAAAUCCUGGAGCUCAACUCCAGAACUGCCUUCGAUACUGGAGAGCUCGAGUCCGGGAGAGGUGAGUGGAACUGCGAGUGUAGAGGUGAAAUUCGUAGAUAUUCGCAAGAACACCAGUGGCGAAGGCGGCGUCCUGGACCAACACUGACACUGAUGAGCGAAAGCCAGGGGAGCAAACGGG
rnacentral:rRNA from 1 species